AACGAACGCUGGCGGCAGGCCUAACACAUGCAAGUCGAGCGCCCCGCAAGGGGAGCGGCGGACGGGUGAGUAACGCGUGGGAACGUGCCUCUUGCUACGGAAUAGCCUCGGGAAACUGGGAGUAAUACCGUAUGUGCCCUACGGGGGAAAGAUUUAUCGGCAAGAGAUCGGCCCGCGUUGGAUUAGGUAGUUGGUGGGGUAAUGGCCUACCAAGCCGACGAUCCAUAGCUGGUUUGAGAGGAUGAUCAGCCACACUGGGACUGAGACACGGCCCAGACUCCUACGGGAGGCAGCAGUGGGGAAUCUUAGACAAUGGGCGCAAGCCUGAUCUAGCCAUGCCGCGUGAGCGAUGAGGGCCUUAGGGUUGUAAAGCUCUUUCAGUGGGGAAGAUAAUGACUGUACCCACAGAAGAAGCCCCGGCUAACUCCGUG
rnacentral:rRNA from 1 species